AGAAGAAGUGCGCCAUGUUAUUUUUUAUUGUUUCUUUCAAAGAUGCAUUCGGACAAGUAAUCAGGAAACCGAGAAACAGUCACGGUUAUACGGUUUCCUCAGGAAAUAGGAAACCAGAAUUCAGUUGAAUCGGCAUGAAAAAACUGCCGACAACAACCAACAUGACCAUGGACAGGUUUCCGACAGAAUCUUCCACGGAUUUCCAAUGGAAUUUUUCGGAAAUUCGCAAUGGAAUUGCCCAGGAAUUUCGGAUUGCGUUGAGUGUGACCAUUUGUUUGGACUUUGGGAUUCUAGUGAGCAGCGGAAAUGACGAGGAAAAUGCCUAUAUGUUGUGCACGCGCAAUUGGAAGGAGCGCUCCUUGCUGUCGGAUAGCAAACAGAAGAAAAAGCUCACUUCUAAGCAGUUAGCCUAGUGGAAAAAAGGCGAACCAAGACUCGUUUUUAAACUUAAGGAAAUGAAUGAGAAGAAGAAAAAGAAGCCAGAGGAAAAGGAAAGGAAGCAUCGUGAAAAGGAAAAACAGGAACUGUUGGUGGAGAAAGUGAAAAAGAGAGCAGAAGAGCAGAAGCACAAGGAACGGGAGGAGAAAGGAGAGCAGAAACGCAAAUAAAAAAAGAGAAGGAUGAACAGAAACGAAACAAAAACGAAGAGAAGGAGCGGUAAAAACUAGCGGAAGUGGAAGUGAAAACUGAAGAGAAGCAUAAGAAAGAGGAACAAAAGGAGAGAGAGCAUUCGAAGAAGGAAGAGGAAGUUGAAGCAGAAGUGAAGCGCAAACAGAAGGCUGUUCAGGCCUUUAAGAGUUUCUUCGUGAAGAAAACAAUGCCAAAAGAUGUAAAACAAUCGGGUGAUGAGAAAUCGAUGGAUCGUCAAUCUGUGGGAGAUGAGAGCUAUGUGGUUUCUCGAUUGGGAUGCACGCCCUUCUGUGUGAAGGACGAUAUGGGAUUGGCUCCAGUGUGUAGAGUAUUCUUACAGGGAAUGGAACGCAUGAAACGUUUGGAAGAAGUGUUGGUUGAAGCCGGUGCAGGAGAGAAUGAACGGGAUGGAUUGUACAUGCAGCAGUUAAAAACAAAAACUACGUGGUUGGCAAAUGCUGGAUGACGAAGGAGAGGAUGGCCAUGUAAUGAUUAUAGACACCUAUGUCAUCAGAUCAAAGCGGCAGCUUCUCCAACCCACCGCUAUCGUGCCAAAUACUUCCUAUUUAAAGAAAAUCGCCGACCGCUGUAUCGGAGAACGUAGCGGAAGCAAAGCACUCAGACCAAACCAUGACGUCCCUUCGUUCAGCACACUAAAUUCUUUGAUUACGAAGUCGACUCGGAUGGCAAGUGGUAAAAGGAGAAUCGGGGUGAAUCGCAACACGGCAGUGACGAAGUGAUACGACGUACCGCAUGGUCACUUGAUUGACGAUGAGAUGAAAGCAGAGGCUGACGUCAUUGUGGACAAUUGCCCGAAAACCUAGAAGGUCAAGCUGAAAAUGAUGCACCACGAAUUGUUUUUAGUCUGCAAUCGAUUCCUAGCUCCGCACUGAUAUCAAAAACAUCUGCCGCUCAUGCCUCCAACAUCACCAAGGCUACGCGAGAUGACAAACGGAAAUCUGCCAACGUAUCGCCCUACAAUGCACGCUGAAAGUCUCCCACUGCCGCCCCCUCACCGUGUUCAACCGCUGAUGUCAGUACCACUGGGUCGAAGAUAAACCAGACCACCAAGAGCAUUCUAAUCAGCUAGCUUCAGGCCAAAGAUGGCACCUCUAACAACGCCACAAGCAACGAUAAGAGCAAUUUGAACGUGGUGGAAUCGAUGGCGGUUCACUCUGCGCUGGACAACCGAUCGAUUUUUUUUUUUAUUGAUCAAAGUGUAUCAGACCAGUUUAGUACUAAAGUGUAAUAGGAUUGCGGUGUCAACAUUUCUAGGCUGUAAGCAGUUACUGCUCAGGACACCCUUUUUCACAGAAUCGUGCCACUUGCCAAUAUGCAACUGGAGAUCGACCCGCUGGUGUGCAGUGACGGUUAAUCUGCAUCGUACUUAUGGUCAUCGAUAUUCGUCAUAAGGAAUAUAUUUAAUUAAAUACACUACCGUUUAAGUGCGAAUCAUCAUUCUACUGAAAAAUUAAAAGAAUAAUAAAACGAGAAAGGUAUAAACAA